GAUGAACGCUAACUACAGGCUUAACACGUGCAAGUCGGGGGGUAACGAGAGGAAAGCUUGCUUUCCUUGUCGACGACCGGCGCACGGGUGAGUAACGCGUAUCCAACCUGCCCCCAACUAAGGAAUAACCUUGCGAAAGUAAGACUAAUACCUUAUAAUUUCCUCAGAUGUCAUCUGACGAGGAAUAAAGAUUUAUCGGUUGUGGAUGGGGAUGCGUCUGAUUAGCUUGUUGGCGGGGUAACGGCCCACCAAGGCAACGAUCAGUAGGGGUUCUGAGAGGAAGGUCCCCCACAUUGGAACUGAGACACGGUCCAAACUCCUACGGGAGGCAGCAGUGAGGAAUAUUGGUCAAUGGGCGAAAGCCUGAACCAGCCAAGUAGCGUGCAGGAUGACGGCCCUAUGGGUUGUAAACUGCUUUUAUACAGGAAUAAAGUUAGCCACGUGUGGUUAUUUGUAGGUACUGUAUGAAUAAGGACCGGCUAAUUCCGUGCCAGCCGCCGCAGUAA
rnacentral:rRNA from 1 species